ACAUCUCUCAAUAAGAGCAGUUGAACAUCUGUCAAUCAAUGUCAAAGAGAUUCAGAUAUCAGAUAUCAAAGAUAUCUCAAAGAGUGUUGAUACUGAAGAUAAAAAACUCUGCAAACCUUGUCAUCUUGCCAAAGCAAAGAUUCAAAUAUCUCACUGCUUCCAUAUACAAUUUAAACUAUCCUUUGAACAUCUCCAUGUAGAUAUUUUGCAAGGACCAUCCUACUAUUACAACAGAGAAUGAUGACUCAUACAUUUUAUAUGUGAUUAUCUUCAUUUUCAUAUUGCAAUCACAGCCAUUCGAAAAUCUGAUAUAAGAAAAGCUUACAACAAAAUAAGGUAUAAAAACACAACAUCUUGGACAGAAGGAAUUCAACCUUUUCAUAUAUCUCCUUUGUCUAUUCCUUUUUUAAUCAUCAUUCCCUUUAUAUUAUUUCCUAUUCUGGUAACUUAUCCAGCUUCAUUCCUUAUGUUAUUCUGCUGAAGGGGGUAUGUCAGGGAUGAUAUCUGAUGAUAUAUCACAUAUCUUAUCCAAUGAUAUAUCCGACGGUAUAUCCGAUGAUAUAUCAUAUAUCAUAUUACCCAUGAAACCAAGCAAUGCCCCGCUGAAUCUCAGAACUGCCCCAUUUGUAUAAUCGCGCAUUCCCUUCCUUAUAAAUACUGCCAUUUUAUCAUGUAAUUAUCGGAGU
rnacentral:sRNA from 1 species